GAUGAAGAACGUAGCGAAAUGCGAUACUUGGUGUGAAUUGCAGAAUCCCGUGAACCAUCGAGUCUUUGAACGCAAGUUGCGCCCGAAGCCAUCAGGUUGAGGGCAUGUCUGCCUGGGCGUCACAUAUCGUUGCCCAAUGCCUAUUGCAGUGCAAUAGGAAUUUCUAGGGCGAAUGAUGGCUUCCCGUGAGCGUUGUUGCCUCGCGGUUGGUUGAAAAUCGAGUCCUUGGUAGGGUGUGCCAUGGUAGAUGGUGGUCGAGUUAGAACGAUACCGAUCAUGUGCAUGCUCCCCAAAAUAUGGCCUCUAUGACCCACACGCGUCUUUUGACGCUCAUGACGAGACCUCAGGUCAGGCGGGGCUACCCGCUGAAUUUAAGCAUAUCAAUAAGCGGAGGAA
rnacentral:misc_RNA from 1 species